CUGAAAAACUUUUCAAAAAUAGUUUUUUUAUAUCCCAUUGUCUACCUACCAUGUUGCUUCCACUGGACAUGUUUUACCCUAUGUGUGAGACCUUUGGCUUGAGUGAGUAACUCAAGUCAGGGAGUUGCCGGUGGCAAGACCAUUUACCAAAAUUUGAUUAAAAACACAUUAUCUGAAUCUUUUGCUUCAAUAUAAUA
rnacentral:misc_RNA from 1 species